UUUUGUGUGUCGUUUCUUUCUUUGUGGUGCGUCUUUGGUUUUGCGCUGUAUAUGUACUUCUAGGAUUAUGAACCAACUAGGCCCAAAAGAAGUUUUACUGAAAUUCCUUUCUAGUGCAGUGGGUCCCUCUUUCUGCGUGUCUUCUCCGUCUGUUUCACCAUCUGCUGUCGUCAAUGCCCUCCUCAGCCCCAUCGUACUUGCUACGUGCCGUGCUAGGCUGUAUGGAUUCUGCCUGCGCAAGGGGCUUGUGCCGUCAGAUGUGAAAGCGCUUUUCCGGUUCUGUGACCCUGUCCUGGACCCAUGUCAAGAGACUGUGCAAAUUAUUACGUUCGGAACUGUGGCGGCAAGUGCGACUCUUCCAGGACUGGCAUUGGGCGCUUUGCCAUUCAGCUGAUCCUGAGUGGCUGGCUCUCAACAAGUACCGCUCCUGUGUUCGAAUAGCGGCUCAACUAACGGAAGUAAAUUGGAACAGUAUGGUGAGAGUUUUGUGCCGAUGAGGUGAAAAAUCUGCUCUUAAUGUAAAGAAAAGUGUGAAGGUGCUUAGAAAUGUUAACCUGCCUGAUGACGUAGAACACUUGCUGGCGAAAGGCCCUAAAUUUUGUAUGCCUUCGUAUCUUCCUGCGCAUGAUCUGAUCGCAAUAAACAGAAUUAUCACUUCUAAGGCCAAGCAAGAGUCCCGCGAUCAAUG